rnacentral:rRNA from 1 species
GAUGAACGCUGGCGGCGUGCCUAACACAUGCAAGUCGAGCGAUUCUCUUCGGAGAAGAGCGGCGGACGGGCGAGUAACGCGUGGGUAACCUGCCCUGUACACACGGAUAACAUACCGAAAGGUAUGCUAAUACGAGAUAAUAUACUUUUAUCGCAUGGGAGAAGUAUCAAAGCUUUUGCGGUACAGGAUGGACCCGCGUCUGAUUAGCUAGUUGGUAGGGUAACGGCUUACCAAGGCGACGAUCAGUAGCCGACCUGAGAGGGUGAUCGGCCACAUUGGAACUGAGACACGGUCCAAACUCCUACGGGAGGCAGCAGUGGGGAAUAUUGCACAAUGGGCGAAAGCCUGAUGCAGCAACGCCGCGUGAGCGAUGAAGGCCUUCGGGUCGUAAAGCUCUGUCCUCAAGGAAGAUAAUGACGGUACUUGAGGAGGAAGCCCCGGCUAACUACGUGCCAGCCGCCGCCGUAAUAC